CGGCCGCGGUAUUUUGACCGUGCAAAGGUAGCGCAAUCACUUGUCUUUUAAAUAGAGACCUGUAUGAAUGGCUAAACGAGGGCUUAACUGUCUCCCCCUUCAAGUCAGUGAAAUUGAUCUAUCCGUGCAGAAGCGGGUAUAACCAUACAAGACGAGAAGACCCUUUGGAGCUUAAGGUACAAAAUUCAACCACGUCAAGCAACUUAAUAAAAAGCAAGAACUUAGUGGAAAAUGAAAUUUUACCUUCGGUUGGGGCGACCACGGAGGAAAAACAAGCCUCCGAGUGGAAUGGGCUAAACCCCUAAAACCAAGAGAGACAUCUCUAAGCCACAGAACAUCUGACCAAAAAUGAUCCGGCUAAUAAAGCCGAUCAACGGACCAAGUUACCCUAGGGAUAACAGCGCAAUCCUCUCCCAGAGUCCAUAUCGACGAGGGGGUUUACGACCUCGAUGUUGGAUCAGGACAUCCUAAUGGUGCAGCCGCUAUUAAGGGUU
rnacentral:rRNA from 1 species